ACUGUUCACAUGUCGUAUACGAGUUUUUUUUCCUGUACGAGUUUUUUUUUCAGGCACCAGGUGUGACACCUUGCUGGCCCAUUUUCCAAAGGGACUGUUGAACCUCCAGUCGUCUGAUUUCCGAUUAGGCUAUUUUUUUUGUCCAGUCCUAUGACGACAUGCGUCAUUGUUGGGUACGGCCGAUCAUGCACCUUCCGUGCUUGAGCUUCUCAUCAAUCUCCGUAUACACGUCAUCAGCUUCUGCGAAAACGAAAAUGAGACAAGUUUUAUAAAAAUGAAUGAAAUACAAAUGAGCAAGGACUGACACAAACCUAACCAUGCAAUGCAAGAAUACAAACUAUGACUGAACAAACAAAAAAAGAACACUAAAACUAUACGCUGAACCCUGAACAAGACUGAGCAAACAUAACACUGAAAAGUACAGAGAAACAGAGAGAGAAAAGCACAGCAGAGAGCAGAGUGUGGAGACAGACAGCAAAUGAGGCAGAAUAUCCAAAGCAAGUAUAUGAGGAUGAGGGUUCUGACCAUCAUGAGCUCCAAUUUCAGCUAGUGCCCAGAUACCUCACCCGAGCCCCCUCUCUUUCUUCUUAUGUGCCAGCUGAUCUGCAAGCAAAAAACCAACAUCUCAAGACCAUUUGGAAAAACAGCUAUUGGGGAAAUGAACACUAAGCAUACCUGAACACUGGGGAAAAAAACUCCUACACGGAUGAUAAACCGUUGCUCUGUUUAUUAUGUCAAGGUUAGCCUCAUACAAAGGAUCUGAAAAAAUGUUCCAAGUUAAGAAGAAAAAUAAACUGCUCUGUUUAUUAUGUCAAGGUUAGCCUCAUACAAAGGAUCUGAAAAAAUGUUCCAAGUUAAGAAGAAAAUAAACUGCUCUGUUUAGUCAAAAACUCAUACAUGUGAUACAGCAUAGCUGAACAAAUUCUCAUAAAAAAAAACACCGCAUUACUAAAAAAAUGCUAGCCAUCCCAAGAAACUAUGGGAGAAAUGAACACUUAAAUAGACUAAGGAACUCGGAGAUCGCCUUCCCAAAAAGCUGAAACCGUGACACAUAGAUGCAUAUGGGGGGUCAGGGUAGAAAAUAGAUUUAGGUUUUUGUGGCGUCAAACCACAUGUGCGUGAAUGCGCACACAUAUAGAUUCAGUAUAGCCACAUUAUAUAGGUAGGAGAAACCUGGUUUUUAACUAGAUUGGAC
rnacentral:lncRNA from 1 species